UACGUAGGGUGCGAGCGUUUGUCCGGAAUUAUUGGGCGUAAAGAGCUUGUAGGCGGUUUGUCGCGUCUGCCGUGAAAUUUCGAGGCUCAACCUCGAACUUGCGGUGGGUACGGGCAGACUAGAGUGAUGUAGGGGAGACUGGAAUUCCUGGUGUAGCGGUGAAAUGCGCAGAUAUCAGGAGGAACACCGAUGGCGAAGGCAGGUCUCUGGGCAUUAACUGACGCUGAGGAGCGAAAAGCAUGGGGAGCGAACAGG
rnacentral:rRNA from 1 species